GGCCUUUCGGGGAACCAGGAGACAGGUGCUGCAUGGACUGUCGUCAGCUCGUGUCGUGAGAUGUUGGGUUAAGUCCCGCAACGAGCGCAACCCUUAUCUUUAAUUGCCAGCAUUCAGUUGGGCACUCUAAAGAGACUGCCGGUGUUAAACCGGAGGAAGGUGGGAUGACGUCAAGUCCUCAUGGCCUUUAUGCUUAGGGCUACACACGUGCUACAAUGGGUGGUACAAAGAGAAGCCAACUCGCGAGAGCGCGCCAAUCUCAAAAAGCCAUCCUCAGUUCGGAUUGGAGUCUGCAACUCGACUCCAUGAAGUUGGAAUCGCUAGUAAUCGCGGAUCAGCAUGCCGCGGUGAAUACGUUCCCGGGCCUU
rnacentral:rRNA from 1 species